CAGUACUUGAGGACACCCUAAGGGAUCCCCCUUCACCAUUUGCAGUAGUUAAGAAUGUGUUACAGGAGUUGGCAACGAAAGCCUCCAUGGAUGUGGAUGCAGCUAAUGUAAAGGAGGGAGUGUUGGAGCAGCAGGGGAUUGUCGACGGGGUGGAAGAACAAGAGGAUUCAAACCCAGGGUUAGAUGAAGCAGACACGACAGUUGGUACACUAGAAAAUAUUGUGAGUAUCUUCCCAGUAAAUAUUAUCAUUACAUUUUGAAA